GGUAAGUUCUCCGAUUCCGUUCCAAGAAUUAAUCAUAUGAGAUAUACCAUGAUGUUAUGAAGAUGUUAUUAAUGAAAUUUUAUGGUUUUAGGCAGCCCAGAACGUUACCAAACAGUCCCUAAGUUUCAGCUGCGCGAAAGGAAAUUCCGAGGCAAGUUUUGGCGAGUUUUGGUGAAUUUCGGGAAAGGUUCAAGAGACGACGAGGCGAGCAUAGUUAAGAGUAAUCCGUAAGAGGUACAGAUGAUUGGUUUGCUGAUCCGCUCGCUUAGGACAUCCACCAUGUUGGUCGACAGUGCUCCUUUGUCCGGAGCCCUAUUUUGGGUACUGACACUUUCUGUUGUAUAUAUAUAUAUAUAUACGUUGUUUAGGGUACGGCGGGGCCCUGUCCCGUCAUAUGACUAGGAUAUCAGUCUGUAGAGGUCUGUAGACAUGAGAUGUGGGUUUUGUAUAUAUGUUUUGGGUUUUGUGUGUUUCGUUAUGGCCUAUCGGCCCUCGUGCGUUAUAUCUAUUUUGUGAUCUAUUUAGAGAUCCCUUCUGAUCAUUACCUAUGUUUAU